rnacentral:rRNA from 1 species
GACGAACCGAGCGAACGGUGUUCGGAAUAACUGGGCUUAAAGGGCGCGUAGGCGGGCCGCCAAGUUCGAGGUGAAAUCCUCCGGCUCAACCGGAGAACUGCCUCGAAUACUGGAGGCCUCGAGGCGGGUAGGGGCACGCGGAACUGUGGGUGGAGCGGUGAAAUGCGUUGAUAUCCACAGGAACUCCGGUGGCGAAGGCGGCGUGCUGGACCCGAUCUGACGCUGAGGCGCGAAAGCCAGGGGAGCGAACGGG